rnacentral:tRNA from 1 species
GGAUUGUCGCUCAGUGGUAGAGCGCUCACCUAGCAUGUGCGAGGCCCUGGGUUCGAUCCUCAGCACCA